UACGUAGGGUGCGAGCGUUGUCCGGAAUUACUGGGCGUAAAGCGCGUGUAGGUGGUGGGACAAGUCUGCUGUGAAAGCGCCUGGCUUAACCGGGCGAGGUCGGCGGAAACUGUCCGACUCGAGGACGGUAGAGGGGGGUGGAAUUCCCGGUGUAGUGGUGAAAUGCGUAGAGAUCGGGAGGAACAUCUGUGGCGAAGGCGGCCACCUGGACCAACACUGACACUGAGGCACGAAAGCGUGGGGAGCAAACAGG
rnacentral:rRNA from 1 species